GGCGCGACGGCGUCCUUGGUUACUUCGUCGGCCGCCGUCUAAAAAAUCCCCAUUUCUCCACUGAUCUAGUCGUCGCCGGCCAAUACCCAGUUCCAAUAUGGAGCUGAGCUCGGGCUUCACCCGGCGCUCCUCCCAGCAGCUGGGCCCAGCCAGCGGCGGGGAGGACCGCAUCAGCGCCCUGGACGACGACAUGCUGCUCCUCGUCCUGGCGCGCCUCGGAUGCUUCCGCGCGGCCGCUCGCACGGGCGGCCUCUCCCGCCGGUGGCGCGGCCUCUGGGCCAGCCUCCGCCACAUCGUCUUCUGCGACGUCCCGUUCCCCUCGCUCGAAGCGGCGCUCGGCCGCGUCACUCGCCCCCCUCCGGGGCUUUCCCUCCUGGAGAUCCGCGUCACGGACAUGCAGCCCAGGCGCGACGCCGCCGGCGUCACCUCGCUCUUGUGCGCCGCCGCGCUGCUCGAGCCCAAGGAGCUAGUCUUGGCCCUCCCGUCGGGCUACAUGGGCAAUCUCUCGCCCUUGUUCUUCCUGCAGCUUCCAGACCACGUCAGGUUCCAUGAACUCGAGACACUGUCCCUCUUGGGCUGCCACGUGCGCUUCGACUCCUUGCUCCCCUGCUGCCCACGCUUGCGGGUGCUAAGGCUAAAGUUCAAUGACCGUUGGGGCCACUACAACAUCAGAUCCUUCAUGUCACUCCACUCCACGUCGCUGCAAGAGCUUUGUGUGGAUGUCGAGAACGUAAGCAUAGAUACCGUCGACCUUGUUGCUCCCGAGCUUAAGAAAUUGACAGUGUCCUUGAAGGCUUUCCGGGAGGUCAACAUCUCUAUCUUGGCACCAAUGCUUGAGAAGCUCUCAUGGAAAUGCUCCUACUCCUUUAUCAACUUUGGUCCUUGGAGGAUUGCAAAGUUGUGGCUGCAGAAGGCGGAGAGACAAGGAGAGCUCCCUUCAUUGCUCAUCCAUGCCCGCAUUAGCUCGUCCAUUGUUCAUGGUGAAGCGGAGAACUCUACGCAAGAGAUAGAGAAACAUAUGCUCGCAAAGUUCUCUGUUUUGGAGUUACAUCUCAGGCCAAAGGGACAUGCUUUUGGAGCAUUCAUGUUUCAUCUCCUUGGGAUGAAUCGGUUUUUUAGGGCCACGCAGAGGCUAAAGGUUGUCCUACAGAGAUCCUCGUUGAAGCAAGAAUGCCCACUAGAUUGUGCUUGUGACCACCCGGACUGGAGAUCCCGAACUAGCUCCUUGACCGCUCUCGAAGAAGUGGAGAUCAGUGGCUUUCAAGGACACGAUCAUGAGAUCGAUUUCUUGAAACUGAUAUUCAAAUGUGCACCGAUGCUUAAAAGAAUGAUUGUGCGUUUCUCACAUGAGGUCUUAUAUCGUGAUCAUCAUGGAUGCACACAAAUACGAAACAUCUUCAGGGAAUAUUCUUCUGUGGAAUGCUAUCUUUAUCUUAGCUCUGCCUCCAAUGCAGGUUUAGUGCAUGGCAGCGGCGGGUUCCCAUCAACAUGAUUCUCAGCCUACAUUCGCAAAAAAAAACAUGAUUCUCAGCCUUGCAUAUUUGGAUUCAUGAUGAGUGGAUGCAUGCCUCUUUUACUGCAAGUUUGAUCAUGGAUGGCUGCAAAAGAUGCCAAGAAUCAUAUCGGCAACUUUGGCUCCUUGUUUGUCUAAUGCCAUCAUCUUAACAAGUUAUAAUAUUGUGAUGUUUGUAUGAAGUACUAAUGACUGCUGGACUGAUGUUAUUCUGCACUGUCAAACUCCUAGUUUUCAUGCUUCUUGUGCUAUAAGUAUUUGUUCCCCAUCGAAUGAUGAUAUAGAUUGUAGAGUGUAUCUACUAUUUGAUGCU